rnacentral:rRNA from 1 species
AGCGAACGCUGGCGGCAGGCUUAACACAUGCAAGUCGAACGGGUACCUUCGGGUGCUAGUGGCAGACGGGUGAGUAACACGUGGGAACGUACCUUUUGGUUCGGAAUAAUACAGGGAAACUUGUACUAAUACCGGAUACGCCCUUCGGGGGAAAGAUUUAUCGCCGAAAGAUCGGCCCGCGUCUGAUUAGCUAGUUGGUG